UACGUGAGGGGCGAACGUUGUUCGGUGUCACUGGGCUUAAAGGGUGCGUAGGUGGUUGCGUAAGUAACGUGUGAAAUCCCUCGGCUUACCCGGGGAAUUGCGCGUUAUACUGCGUGACUUGAGGAUUUCAGGGGAAUGGGGAACUCCAGGUGUAGCGGUGAAAUGCGCAGAUAUCUGGGGGAAGGCCGGCGGCGAAGGCGCCAUUCUGGGAAAUUCCUGACACUGAGGCACGAAGGCGUGGGGAGCAAACAGG
rnacentral:rRNA from 1 species